rnacentral:rRNA from 1 species
CCUACGGGAGGCUGCAGUAGGGAAUCUUUCACAAUGGGCGCAAGCCUGAUGGAGCAACGCCGCGUGCAGGAUGAAGGCCUUCGGGUUGUAAACUGCUUUUAUAAGCGAGAAAUAUGAUGGUAACUUAUGAAUAAGGAUCGGCUAACUACGUGCCAGCAGCCGCGGUCAUACGUAGGAUCCGAGCAUUAUCCGGAGUGACUGGGUGUAAAGAGUUGCGUAGGUGGCAUAAUAAGUAGCUAGUGAAAUCUGGUGGCUCAACCAUUCGUACUAUUAGCUAAACUGUUAAGCUCGAGACCGUUAGGGGUAACUGGAAUGUCUAGUGUAGGAGUGAAAUGCGUAGAUAUUAGGAAGAACACCGAUAGCGUAGGCAGGUUACUGGGACGGUUCUGACGCUAAGGCACGAAAGCGUAGGGAGCAAACGGGAUUAGAUACCCGUGUAGUC